rnacentral:rRNA from 1 species
ACGGCUGUCGGAUAUUGGGCGUAAGGGCUCGCAGGCGGUUUCUUAGUCUGAUGUGAAAGCCCCCGGCUCAACCGGGGAGGGUCAUUGGAAACUGGGAAACUUGAGUGCAGAAGAGGAGAGUGGAAUUCCACGUGUAGCGGUGAAAUGCGUAGAGAUGUGGAGGAACACCAGUGGCGAAGGCGACUCUCUGGUCUGUAACUGACGCUGAGGAGCGAAAGCGUGGGGAGCGAACAGGAUUAGAUACCCUGGUAGUCCACGCCGUAAACGAUGAGUGCUAAGUGUUAGGGGGUUUCCGCCCCUUAGUGCUGCACCUAACCCAUUAGGCACUCCGCCUGGGGAGUACGGGCCCAAGACUGAGACUCAAUGGAAUUGACGGGGGCCCGCACAAGCGGUGGAGCAUGUGGUUUAAUUCCAACAUUCCCUUUAAACCUUGCCAGGCCUUGACAUCCUCUGACAACUGUAGAAAUCGGGCUUUCCCUUCGGGGACAGAGGAUCGGGUGGUGCAUGGUUGUCGUCUCUCUGCUCCGCUGACGUUGCGUUAAGGGGCGUCACCACCUGCAACAUCGUUAUUAAUAAACUCAAAGGCAAUGGAUGCAUCUCCGGUGACUGUCAGAGCUGAAAACGUAGAUGACAAGCUCACUGAAUAUGUCAUCACAGCACACUCCCAACGCACCUAAAGGUGAAAUCCUUUUGAAUACGC